UAAUACGAAGGGAGCUAGCGUUGUUCGGAAUCACUGGGCGUAAAGCGCACGUAGGCGGAUGUGUCAGUCAGGGGUGAAAUCCCGGAGCUCAACUUCGGAACUGCCUUUGAUACAGCACGUCUUGAGUCCGAUAGAGGUGGGUGGAAUUCCUAGUGUAGAGGUGAAAUUCGUAGAUAUUAGGAAGAACACCGGUGGCGAAGGCGGCCCACUGGAUCGGUACUGACGCUGAGGUGCGAAAGCGUGGGGAGCAAACAG
rnacentral:rRNA from 1 species